rnacentral:rRNA from 1 species
ACGGUAACAGGUCUUCGGACGCUGACGAGUGGCGAACGGGUGAGUAAUACAUCGGAACGUGCCCAGUCGUGGGGGAUAACUACUCGAAAGAGUAGCUAAUACCGCAUACGAUCUGAGGAUGAAAGCGGGGGACCUUCGGGCCUCGCGCGAUUGGAGCGGCCGAUGGCAGAUUAGGUAGUUGGUGGGAUAAAAGCUUACCAAGCCGACGAUCUGUAGCUGGUCUGAGAGGACGACCAGCCACACUGGGACUGAGACACGGCCCAGACUCCUACGGGAGGCAGCAGUGGGGAAUUUUGGACAAUGGGCGAAAGCCUGAUCCAGCAAUGCCGCGUGCAGGAUGAAGGCCUUCGGGUUGUAAACUGCUUUUGUACGGAACGAAAAAGCUUCUCCUAAUACGAGAGGCCCAUGACGGUACCGUAAGAAUAAGCACCGGCUAACUACGUGCCAGCAGCCGCGGUAAUACGUAGGGUGCGAGCGUUAAUCGGAAUUACUGGGCGUAAAGCGUGCGCAGGCGGUUAUGUAAGACAGAUGUGAAAUCCCCGGGCUCAACCUGGGAACUGCAUUUGUGACUGCAUGGCUAGAGUACGGUAGAGGGGGAUGGAAUUCCGCGUGUAGCAGUGAAAUGCGUAGAUAUGCGGAGGAACACCGAUGGCGAAGGCAAUCCCCUGGACCUGUACUGACGCUCAUGCACGAA